rnacentral:rRNA from 1 species
AGAGUUUGCUCUCUGGCUCAGGAUGAACGCUGGCGGCGUGCCUAACACAUGCAAGUCGAGCGAAGCACUUUACUUGAUUUCUUCGGAUUGAAGGUAUAGUGACUGAGCGGCGGACGGGUGAGUAACGCGUGGGUAACCUGCCUCAUACAGGGGGAUAACAGUUAGAAAUGACUGCUAAUACCGCAUAAGACCACAGCACCGCAUGGUGCGGGGGUAAAAACUCCGGUGGUAUGAGAUGGACCCGCGUCUGAUUAGCUAGUUGGUAAGGUAAGGGCUUACCAAGGCGACGAUCAGUAGCCGACCUGAGAGGGUGACCGGCCACAUUGGGACUGAGACACGGCCCAAACUCCUACGGGAGGCAGCAGUGGGGAAUAUUGCACAAUGGGGGAAACCCUGAUGCGGCGACGCCGCGUGAGUGAUGAAGUAUUUCGGUAUGUAAAGCUCUAUCAGCAGGGAAGAAAAUGACGGUACCUGACUAAGAAGCACCGGCUAAAUACGUGCCAGCAGCCGCGGUAAUACGUAUGGUGCAAGCGUUAUCCGGAUUUACUGGGUGUAAAGGGAGCGUAGACGGAGAGGCAAGUCUGAUGUGAAAACCCGGGGCUCAACCCCGGGACUGCAUUGGAAACUGUUUUUCUAGAGUGUCGGAGAGGCAAGUGGAAUUCCUAGUGUAGCGGUGAAAUGCGUAGAUAUUAGGAGGAACACCAGUGGCGAAGGCGGCUUGCUGGACGAUGACUGACGUUGAGGCUCGAAAGCGUGGGGAGCAAACAGGAUUAGAUACCCUGGUAGUCCACGCCGUAAACGAU